GGAUAGGUAAAUUUUUAAGAUUGUGCUGAUGAAUCAAAUUUAUGCCAACUCAGCCAAUCAUGGAGAAGGUGGUGUUCUAAACAUCUACCUGCAAGAUCACUUUUUGUUCAACAAUUGCCUGCAGUUCAGAAUCUGCCACAGCAGGAAGAAAAUAGAGAAGCCUUAGAAAAUGGACCAACAUCUGAUGAAGAAGAAGAAGCACCAAGAACAUAUAGGGCAAUUCCCGUUAUUCAACUGGACUCAAGAUUAAUACGUUUAGUUUGUGAGAGAAUAAAAAAUCCGUUCGUCCUAUGUGUCAUGGUUCAGCAUUAAUCAGUAAAAAUGAGAUGGGCAACCAAAUUUUGAUUGUAACUCCAUAUAAUCAAGAGCCGAAAGAAUUGACUUGAAUGUACCAUUCCUGAGGAACACUCUUGGUGAAAGAGCUGUUGAUCAGAUAAUCACACCUCCAUCAAUUUGUGGUCUCUAUAAUAGCGAAAUAAUUAGGCAUCCCCAAGCUGCCAUUAGCUAUACAUUCCUCCAGAUACAAUUGAGAUCUAAAAAGAUAAGACAAUCAAGGUGCCCACAGCUACCUCAGGACAUCCACAAUUUUUCAGUAAUGGCAUUUCCAAUGGUUCCUAUGUCUUUUUGAGGAAUGAAACAGAAGAAAUAUACUGUGCAAUAUUCACUGUGAUACACAAUAUUUUACCAUUAAAUUAUAAUAGAUACUGAUUAUGAGCGUGCUCUUAUGAAUACUGUCCAACAAAUCUUUCCAAACAGUCAUUUGCUAUAAUGUUGGUUCCAUUAUACUCAGUUGUUAGAUAUUGCUACUGAAAGGUGAAUGGUGUCUUGAGCUUAGUGAAGAGACAUGAUGUGGCAGUUCAUAUUUUCAGAAUGCACAAUUGUUUUUUGAUUGUGGUUGAUGGCACUUCCAAAUCUGAAAGAGAAAACAUAACCAGGAUUAUCAGAGAAUCUGUACAACAACUGAACAGAGACGGUAAUUGAUUUUGAAGACGACUGAUCACCAAAAUUAUGACAAUGUUCGACAACAAAUUGGACCUUAUCCUUGAGUAUGUUGUAAAUACUGAGGUCUAUUAUUUUUGAUGUCCGGAGUAAUUAAACAGCCUAUAUUUGAACUGGCUGAUUUACACAAACAUACACAUAUACACACCUUACACAUCAUUACACUACAUAGCUAACUAGUAUUUGCGCAGUAAACUCAACUGUUUCUAGUUGAGCUAUAACUCUAUUACACAUAAAACAUACAGGUCGGUUGCUGUGUAAUAUGGUGUAUGUUAAAAUUUCAGUGCCGGGGUGCAAGGCCUACCGUUGUCCCCAUGAAACAGUUAAAGAAAGUGAUUUACAUUUAGAAAGAAUAGCUAAAUUAAAUUCAAAUCUUCAUGGUUCCACAGUAUUAUUUUCUGAGGUAUUAAAACCAGUGAUUUUUUACAAAGAACCAGUACCAAAUUGUAAGAAAAAACUUAUGGCCUAAAGAGAUACAGAAUCAACUAUUACCAGCCAAUAACUUAGUAGGAAUGUAUUAUAAUUUAUUCAUUCAAUUAAUAGUGUAGUUUCCGGUGGAGCCCAGACAAACAGAAUAAUGUGGACUGUGGAGUGAAUUGGUAUGCUCACUGUUUAAGAGGACGUUAUGCCUGCAUGUGUUAUCUCUGUUUUACUAGCAUGUAUCAUAUCAAAUUUGAGUUCAGCAGAAUAAAUAUUGUGAUAUUAACUUUAAUAUUAGAGUCAAUUUACCUAUUAUCAAACUUAAGGGUAAGAAUAUUAUCUAGGGCAUCUCAUAGGCUUUUAUUGAUAUCUUAAUUUUUAAAUUAGUUAUGGUUAUGUAAAAUAUUAAAACUUUAAAAUGCUUGUAACUCGCUUAAAAAUUAAAAUACCAUUAAAAGCCUAUGAGAUGCCCUAAAUAACAUUAUUACCCUUAAGUUUGAUAAUAGGUAAAUUGACUCUAAUAUUAAAGCUAACAUCACAAAAUGUGUUCUGCUGAACGCAAAUUUGCUAUGAUCUACAUUAGUAAGACAGAGACAACAAUGCGGGUAUAACGUCCUCUUAAGGAAUCUGAUUAUGAAUAUUUAGAGGAAUUAGUUAAAGUCAUUAUUAAAUAAAAUACAAAGAGCUCAAAUAUUAUCAUUAUCGAUUUUCUCAAUCGUAAAAAAAUUUUCCAUCAAAAAUGAGAUGAUUGAUAUUUUUUUGAGCAAAUUAACUAACGUUCAUUAUAGUCAUUGCUUACUUAUCAAUAAACAAGGAAAAGGUAAAAUAAUUAUUUUUUUAUAAAUUAUAAAGAUGUUAAUCUGUAACGGAUGAUAUGGUUACUAAAGCCUGUACGUAGACACAAAGUGUACAAUUUGUACCUCACAUGGUAUGAUUGUUGAUUUAUACAUAGAACAUGGACAAUUAUAAUAAUAUAAAUGUAUAAUACUACAUUUGUCUACAUAUCUAAAUUAUCUGUAGUAAUGUUCGAUAAAACUUAUGCUAUUUAAGUUAUAUAUGUACUUUCAGUACACUGUGUACUUUGUAUUUCAUUAUACCAAUUAUAAUUACCUCUUAAUAAAGAAUGUCAAAAAUAAACUUCAUGAUAAAAAGCUUAUUAGGAUAAUUAUAAAAUAACAUUUUAUAUUAAGAUCAAAUUACAACAUACAUGUUAUUUAAAAUAAAUUGAUUACUUUUACAAGUUUUACAAAUUAAAACAGUGAAGAAACAGAAAACUACACAUAUAUGCUUAAAAUCGCAGAUAUCCAGCAAAAUAUGUUGAAGCAGUAAAAAAAAUAAGUUUGUUCAACUACCUAUAUUAAUAAACAAUAAUUUUGCUUCUUUCUUCUUGACAUCACAAUGUUAUAUUCCACUUUAUCUUGUUAAUUAGGUUUUAGAGAAAACUAUUUCUUGGCUCAAUGAUUAGAAAAUAUGCAUUACAAAAGGCAAUAUUACAAGACAAAUGUUUUACUAAUAGCAUAGCUAAUGGGUUACGUGUCACUAUAAAUUUAACAAUUUAUUUAUCAAAUUAUUUUUUGCAAACUUGUGGUUUUAAAUAUGUAUCGAACAAAUAUGAUGAACUAAGAUUCUUUGAAGCAAGUACAAUAUGCCAAUCUAUUAGUCCAAAUGAUUAUCCUUCUUGCAAGUUUACAAAUUACUGACGAUAUAUUCAACAAUAAAACCACCUAAGACAAGAAACUACCAACUUCUUCAAAUAUUAUAACAUUACAAUGAGGAUGAAACAAUUUAUAUUAGAACAAAAAGAAAAAGCUGUCAAAACUUGUGUAAACCUUUUCAGAGCCGGAUUGGGCUAUCGGGAUACCGGGAAACUUCCAGGUGGGCCAGUAUGCGUGAGGGCUGCUAUGGCCACAAACAGUUUUUAAAUUUUCCAUAAAUUGUCAUGAAUUUUUUUUUACAUUUAUUUAUCUAUUAUUUACUAACUUAUCAUAUUAUAAUUAUUUUAAUUUCUGACACGGACUAAGAUAUACUACUUGUAUAUCUAGUACUAGUUAUAGUAUAUCUUAGUUUGUGAUUUCUGACUUCUUAUCAAGGCUACGGUGAUUAUACGUGUAUAAUAUGCCGGUAAUCGGUAAAAAAAGCCCUAUACCAACUAAAUACAUUAUUAAUUGUUAUUUUAUUAUGAUUUACAUAAUUCAAUAUAAUCAUUAGUCAUUACAUUUAUCUAUGUAACACUUUUUUAACAUGUUUAGAAGUAUUGAUGCAAUUUGAAUUUAACAUUGUCAUUAAUUGUCAUUUGUCAU